rnacentral:lncRNA from 1 species
GCCGACCGUAAUAAUUUCAUCUCACAAGCAUAAAGUUGUUUAUGAUAAAGAAAUUAAUUCCUACUGGCAAUAUUAACUCGCUUGGGGCUCAACUUACCACCAAUGUCCUCAUUAAUUUUUAGUGUAUGAGGUUCUGAAAAAAGGUUCAGAAAUUGUUCCAGCAUUUUGUUGGAGCUUAUAGUAACUAUAUAUCGUGUAUUAUUUGCCUUAUUGACAACAGAUCUAAGCCUUU